rnacentral:lncRNA from 1 species
AUGAAAUGAGGAAGAAAAUCUUUUGUUAUAUAUCAUCUUUCAGAAACAUGUCAUUCUAUUCAAAGUGGAGCUUCUGUUUGCCAUUUUUCUGAGCAAAGAGACCUGCUGCUGUUACAACUGUCUGGCAGUUGGUAGUUUCUUAUCACUUGUCAGUUUUUAAUUGAUGAUGUCUUGCUUGAUAUUUGACAGAGACCAGGCAAACAAGAGGGAAGGGUUGUUCCUGGGAAUGAACAAUCAACAGAAAAAGGAAGAGAAUGUGAAUAGAAUGGCAGAAUAAAGUGAAGAGUUAAUUUCAUCAAUAUGUUACUGGAACACCAUUCAGUGUCCCAUAGUGAUGAAGAAUGAAACCACUGACAGGAGAGAUAUUAUGGCAUUAGUAUCCCAGGACCUUAAAAGAAAUGUGGAAUCUCCGGCCUUGAAGCAAAAACUGAUAAUUUUACAAGAUCUCAUGGGAUUUGUAUGCAUAUCCGUGUUUGAGAAACAUCUGUUUUGGAUGACAUUUACAAUUGGAAGAAUUACAUAAGAAUGACUGUUAUGGUUUAUAUCUGGAUGUCCUCCAAAGCCUCCUAUGCUCAUAGGUGGAACUUUGGGGAGGUGAUUGGAUUAUGGUGACAUGGUACUCAUCGUUGGCUUGCUCCACUAGUGAAUUGUAGAUAAAUGUGAUGUUGGGAGGUGAAGCCUGCCUUGGAGCCACCCACUAUAGACUGAAACCUCUACAAACUGUGAGUCAAAAUAAACUUUUUCUGCUUAGGGCUGUCGGUGGUGGGUAUUUGUGUCUCCGCCGUAAGAGAAGUAACUAAGACAAUGACAUACUUCAUCUGUGUAAAAAUUUACACUUGGCAUUAAACAAUGAGCAUAGUAAAGGAGUGUGAUGUUGGUGGGAUAUUGUUAUAUGAAGAGUUUUAAAACCUGCACUUGUCUUUAAAACUGAUUUGACUCCCAUUGAAACAUUGCAAUAUAGUCAUGAUCAUAAUUUUAAUAAGGGACAUAAUGCCAAAUUUGCCAUAAAGCCUCAUUGUUAUGUGUGUAUAAUAGCCACUUUAUUUUUUUAAAAUUAAUUUUAUGGGUACAUUUUAGGUAUACAAUAGUUACAUUCAUCACUGGGAUAUUGUACCUUCUCAUAGUAUAUCUUGGUUCUUAUUUUUUCCCCAUUCCCCUGCCCUCUCUUCAAUCCCUCCACCCCUCUCUAUUUACAAAGAUUUUUGUUUCCAUUUUUUUCAUUUUCUCAUAUUAAUUCUAUUCCCUUUUUUCCUUUCCCCUGUUCCUCCCACUUCCCCUUCCCCUUUG